CCUCCUCAUCCUGGGCAGCCAUCACCAUGGAAAUGAAGCAGGUUCUGUGGAGGAGAGCAGGUGAAAGAGCAUCGGUGGAUUGAUUUACAGCCGUAGAGGAAAGGGGCUCUUCACGUGCGGC